GAUGAACGCUGGCGGCGUGCCUAAUACAUGCAAGUCGAGCGAACAGACGAGGAGCUUGCUCCUCUGACGUUAGCGGCGGACGGGUGAGUAACACGUGGAUAACCUACCUAUAAGACUGGGAUAACUUCGGGAAACCGGAGCUAAUACCGGAUAAUAUAUUGAACCGCAUGGUUCAAUAGUGAAAGACGGUUUUGCUGUCACUUAUAGAUGGAUCCGCGCCGCAUUAGCUAGUUGGUAAGGUAACGGCUUACCAAGGCAACGAUGCGUAGCCGACCUGAGAGGGGGAUCGGCACCCCGGGACAGAGGGCCGGGGCCAACACCCGGAGGGAGGCAGCGGGAGGAAAUCUUCGGGAAGGGGCGAAAGCUGAAAGGGGAAACGCGGGGGGAGUGAGGAAGGGCUUCGGAUCGUAAACCUCUUUUUUUAGGGAAAAAAAAAUGUUUAAGUAAAGAGGACAGUUUGGCGGGAACUUAAGAAGAAACCCCGGCUAAACUCGUG
rnacentral:rRNA from 1 species